rnacentral:rRNA from 1 species
CCAACCCUUGAAGGCUUCUGCACCUAUCAGGAUAUUCUAGUCCAACAUCGAGGUCACAAACCUUUUUUUCGAUAAGAGCUCUCAAAAAAGAUUAUGCUGUUAUCCCUACGGUAACUAAUUCUUUUAAUCACAAAAGCGUGGAUCCAAAUAAAUAUAUUUUAACAAAUAAAAGAAGCUUUUUUUGUUCCUUAGUCGCCCCAACCAAAAUUUUUUCUAAAAGAAAAUGCAACACGCUUCUUUUAUAUUAGAAAUAAUUUUUAAGCUCGAUAGGGUCUUCUUGUCCUCUAGUUUUAUUUAGAUUUCUUCAUCUAAAAAAUAAAUUCCAACAAUUUUUAUGGAGACAGAAAAGCCCUUGUCAAACCCUUCAUACUAGCCCUCAAUUAUAGGGCAAAUGAUUAUGCUACCUUUGCACGGUCAGAGUACCGCGGCCGUUAAA